AGAGUUUGAUCCUGGCUCAGGACGAACGCUGGCGGCGCGCCUAACACAUGCAAGUCGAACGAGCGAGAGAGAGCUUGCUUUCUCAAGCGAGUGGCGAACGGGUGAGUAACGCGUGAGGAACCUGCCUCAAAGAGGGGGACAACAGUUGGAAACGACUGCUAAUACCGCAUAAGCCCACAGGUCGGCAUCGACCAGAGGGAAAAGGAGCAAUCCGCUUUGAGAUGGCCUCGCGUCCGAUUAGCUAGUUGGUGAGGUAAUGGCCCACCAAGGCAACGAUCGGUAGCCGGACUGAGAGGUUGAACGGCCACAUUGGGACUGAGACACGGCCCAGACUCCUACGGGAGGCAGCAGUGGGGAAUAUUGCACAAUGGGGGAAACCCUGAUGCAGCGACGCCGCGUGGAGGAAGAAGGUCUUCGGAUUGUAAACUCCUGUUGUUGAGGAAGAUAAUGACGGUACUCAACAAGGAAGUGACGGCUAACUACGUGCCAGCAGCCGCGGUAAAACGUAGGUCACAAGCGUUGUACGGAAUUACUGGGUGUAAAGGGAGCGCAGGCGGGAAGACAAGUUGGAAGUGAAAUCUAUGGGCUCAACCCAUAAACUGCUUUCAAAACUGUUUUUCUUGAGUAGUGCAGAGGUAGGCGGAAUUCCCGGUGUAGCGGUGGAAUGCGUAGAUAUCGGGAGGAACACCAGUGGCGAAGGCGGCCUACUGGGCACCAACUGACGCUGAGGCUCGAAAGUGUGGGUAGCAAACAGGAUUAGAUACCCUGGUAGUCCACACCGUAAACGAUGAUUACUAGGUGUUGGAGGAUUGACCCCUUCAGUGCCGCAGUUAACACAAUAAGUAAUCCACCUGGGGAGUACGACCGCAAGGUUGAAACUCAAAGGAAUUGACGGGGGCCCGCACAAGCAGUGGAGUAUGUGGUUUAAUUCGACGCAACGCGAAGAACCUUACCAAGUCUUGACAUCCUGCGACGCACAUAGAAAUAUGUGUUUCCUUCGGGACGCAGAGACAGGUGGUGCAUGGUUGUCGUCAGCUCGUGUCGUGAGAUGUUGGGUUAAGUCCCGCAACGAGCGCAACCCUUACUGUCAGUUACUACGCAAGAGGACUCUGGCAGGACUGCCGUUGACAAAACGGAGGAAGGUGGGGAUGACGUCAAAUCAUCAUGCCCUUUAUGGCUUGGGCUACACACGUGCUACAAUGGCGUAAACAAAGGGAAGCGAGACCGUAAGGUGGAGCAAAUCCCAAAAAUAACGUCUCAGUUCGGACUGUAGUCUGCAACCCGACUACACGAAGCUGGAAUCGCUAGUAAUCGCAGAUCAGAAUGCUGCGGUGAAUACGUUCCCGGGUCUUGUACACACCGCCCGUCACACCAUGGGAGUUGGAAAUGCCCGAAGUCAGUGACCCAACCGCAAGGAGGGAGCUGCCGAAGGCAGGUUCGAUAACUGGGGUGAAGUCGUAACAAGGUA
rnacentral:rRNA from 1 species